UCUAACCAAACCUUUGGAUCAAAAGCGUUUUCUGCAUUUAAGAAAGGCAAUUGAUAUGAAUCCUUCAAUCUAGAUAUAUUCUAUUGAGCCAUAGAUCAUGUGCGUGUUGCAUUUUUACUUGCAUGAUUUUCGGUGUUUGAGAUUGAAUUUCGUGAAUAAUGUUGCUGUUUUGGGAGAUGAAUUGGUCUGUGACUUGAAUUAUUUUAUAUUUAAUUUUUGAUUGAUCACUGUCGGGGUUAUUCUCCAUUGGCAUAUUUUUGAACGAUCAAAUCAUUGAAACUCUAUUUAGCAUAUUGAAUCAAAUUCAACACCUCAUACUUCAAACUUUGAAUGUUGCAAUUGUUUGUUUGAUUAUUAGUUUUGAGAUGAAUAAAUCUUUCUCUGUUUUUGAAAUUGCGAUAAUAUUUUUGACUUGAGGGUUGCACUAAUUUAGGGGGAGUCUUUCCGAUUUUAGCUAUGAAAAUUUCUGAAAUUCAAGAUGUGGAAAGAGUUACAUCCCU
rnacentral:lncRNA from 1 species